GACGAACGCUGGCGGCGUGCUUAACACAUGCAAGUCGAACGAUGAAGCUGGAGCUUGCUCCAGUGGAUUAGUGGCGAACGGGUGAGUAACACGUGAGCAAUCUGCCCUUGACUCUGGGAUAACUGCGGGAAACUGUAGCUAAUACCGGAUACGACACCUUGGGGCAUCCCGAGGUGUGGAAAGAAUUUCGGUCAAGGAUGAGCUCGCGGCCUAUCAGCUUGUUGGUGAGGUAAAAGCUCACCAAGGCGACGACGGGUAGCCGGCCUGAGAGGGUGACCGGCCACACUGGAACUGAGAUACGGUCCAGACUCCUACGGGAGGCAGCAGUGGGGAAUAUUGGACAAUGGGCGCAAGCCUGAUCCAGCAAUGCCGCGUGGGUGAAGAAGGUCUUCGGAUCGUAAAGCCCUUUCGACAGGGACGAUGAUGACGGUACCUGUAGAAGAAGCCCCGGCUAACUUCGUG
rnacentral:rRNA from 1 species